GCUUUCAUAGAUGAAUAACAUCAGUGGUUUUUCAUAUCAUUAGUCUUGGUUAAAGUCCAUGUGGAAGUA
rnacentral:tRNA from 1 species